GACGAACGCUGGCGGCGUGCCUAAUACAUGCAAGUAGAACGCUGAAGCGAGGAGCUUGCUCUUCUUGGCUGAGUUGCGAACGGGUGAGUAACGCGUAGGUAACCUGCCUGGUAGCGGGGGAUAACUAUUGGAAACGAUAGCUAAUACCGCAUAAAAUGGAUUAUCGCAUGAUAAUCCAUUGAAAGGUGCAAAUGCAUCACUACCAGAUGGACCUGCGUUGUAUUAGCUAGUUGGUGGGGUAACGGCUCACCAAGGCGACGAUACAUAGCCGACCUGAGAGGGUGAUCGGCCACACUGGGACUGAGACACGGCCCAGACUCCUACGGGAGGCAGCAGUAGGGAAUCUUCGGCAAUGGACGGAAGUCUGACCGAGCAACGCCGCGUGAGUGAAGAAGGUUUUCGGAUCGUAAAGCUCUGUUGUAAGAGAAGAACGAGUGUGAGAGUGGAAAGUUCACACUGUGACGGUAUCUUACCAGAAAGGGACGGCUAACUACGUG
rnacentral:rRNA from 1 species